UCAUUCACCGAAGGCCCAAAGAGAGGCCAGCCACAUCUGUCCAGAUAUUUCUUGCAGGUUUUCUUCUGACAGUUCUGCUCUCGGGUAAGAAAAGCACCAAAUGGAAGAGGUAGGUCGAGGGAGGACAGCUGGCCAUGAAGAAGAGAGACCUCGAAGGUUCAUCUUGGAAGAAGCUGGAAGCCAAAGCCAGCAUGCCAUGCUCUGGGCGAUGUGGAUCCCAGCAGGAUGGCCUGCAGACACAGGCCCAUCCCACCAGGCCCAGAAUUUCUUGGUACCCCUUAUAGUCUUCAUCUUGGCAAGUACCUCACUUGCUUUCACCCUCGUCCCAGUCCUGAGUCAUGUAAGUAGUUCAUACGUUCUGUGUCUAACUGUUAGGAUCCUAAGGUUGUUUCCAUUUUUUUCCAGUUUAUUUGUCUCUGGAUUUCCAGCACCGUGCCCAACACCUGGUAUGUACUUGAUCAAUAUUUAUCAAAUAAGUGCAGGAACGAACGAAUGAAUGAAUCGGUGAGAUAAAGAAACACUACGAUGAUCGUUCUUGUGGGCAGUGGGUGUCAGAAGAGAAGGGCAAGAGGCGGGAGCCACAUUGUACAGGAAAGCAACUACCCCCUUCUGCCACACAGAGCUCAGGAAAGGGGGCAGCCCAGGCAGGCGGGCAGGGGCAGCUUUCUGGUGGCCUGGGUGUCCUCUCAGUGCACGCACCACACAGGCCCCCCAGAAGAUCCCUUUGGAGGUUCCACCACUUCCUAACGGAGCCAUCAUUACUCUAGCCUGGCCCUGGCCCUGGCCCAGGCAGCUGAAACCAAAACAUUGCCACGUCCCCACGGUGGGACUAGGACAGCUCAUGCAGGGGCGCACACACCCAGCCCCGAGAGCCUCCCUCACACAGGCUGACUCAGGAGCUACUAGGACACUGGGCUGCAGGCUCAUGGGCCGGGGCUUCAGGCCUGGGCCCCAGUGUACAGCUGCCUCUCUCCACGGCAACAGCAACAGGGAUUUUCCCAGCCCAGCCAAUGUGUGGAAUUUUAACAUAACAAAGCCGGAAUCCAAGAGAGGAAAUUCUAAGAACAUGAAAUAAGUCAGAGGAGCAGAGGGUGGGUGUUUAUUUUCCAUCCACUGCCUGGUCUCCUCCCUCCCCCUCCAACCUCCACCCCAAAGGGGAGGGUGGGGGGAAGGGGUCCGGAUUCAGUUGUCAGCACCACAAAUCUAAAGGAAACCCAUCUUCCUGUGUUUGCCAAGGAACAAUGCUGGAGAAGACAUCCAAGGCCUGCACUUUUCCUCUGCACAGAAUAAUUUAGGUCCAGUGCAUUCCUGGGAGGGGGGCCGGACAAGGAAUGUCUGGAUGUAAACAUUCCUGUCCCUUCACUCAGGAUCAUUUGGGACACACAGGUGGGGACAUGUGGGACACCUGGUGGCUUUCUGUGAUCAGAUCCAUACUCCCCACACCAGGCCCACUCCUGUGCCUCCUGCAGAAUGGGCUUCCUAAUCAACCAAGAUCAUGGAAUCGACUGAGGUGGGCACCGUGAUCCCUGCUGUGAUGCAGCUGGCCACCUGGCAGUGACACCUGGGAAGCCAAUAACGAAACAAGGCAUGCCUGGAACUUGCAUUGCUCACCAUCAGGAAGGGCUGUGAAUGCUGCCAGGAAAGGUGGGAAAGCAGAAGCCAGACUCUCAUUGGCCAUGUACCCUACGUAUGUACGUUCUUGGCUGCAGGAAGAGAUUCUGAGUCAGGAGGUUGCAAAUGGGGCCCAGGAAUCUGCAUGUUUAAAGUUAUUCUACGGACUCCGGAUACCCUUGGUCUUUGGAAGGCACUUUGGCAAGAAGUGACACAAAGGAGGACCUUACGUCUGUUCUCAGUAAGUCCACUUAAAUGACCUCUGCCUCUGUCAAGCUUUGGACAAAUCCCAUGAGAUUUUUAAAUCUUUUGCACCUAAAAGGAAACACAGGGAAGGGGACUGAGGGCGGCCCUGCCUGUGCAGGAUGGGAAAAUGUGCAGUAAACCAGGGUGGACCCCCAGGAGUCCACAAAGUAGACACACUUCAGUGAGCAGGGUAGAAGGCUACACAACAGAAGGCUGCCUCCUCCUCCUCCUCCUCCUCCUCCUCCUCCUCCUCCUCCUCUCCUCCUCCUCCUCUUCCUCCUCUUUGACAGGAAUCAGACACUCAUGAAGCAGACCAAAACCAAACAAAAUCACCCAAUUUCAAAAUUUGGUUCAGGUUUGAAAAUCUGAACCAAAUCCCAAAGGAUCCAAGUGCCAAUGUCUGGCACUAACACAGCAUCAGCUACAAUCUUCACAAACCCAACGCGUAGGCCCUUGGCCCACAGCCAACGCGAGAAAUGUCAGGACAGGGACGCUGGACUGUUGUCGGCCACACCCCCCAGCGAUUUCCAAGUUCUUUCGAUCGACACCUCAGCCUGCAAACAGGUCUUUGCCGGCACCCCUGACAUACCACGGAGUCGAACUGUCUCACUCACUACUACUGCUGAUGUCAAGGCACGGCUAUUUUUUAAAAAAAUAUUUUAUUGAUUUUUUACAGAGAGGAAGGGAGAGGGAUAGUGAGUUAGAAACAUCGAUCAGCUGCCCCUUGCACGCCCCCCACUAGGGAUGUGCCCACAGCCAAGGUACAUGCCCUUGACCGGAAUCGAACCUGGGACCCUUGAGUCCGCAGGCCUACGCUCUAUCCACUGAGCCAAACCAGUCGGGACAAGGCACAGCUAUUUUUGAUAUUAUAGUAUAAGGCCCAUCCUCAAUGAUAAUAGAUAUAAUUUUAAAUAGUUCUGACAGGUCUGAGUUUGGGAGUCUGAUGUCAGAUCUGUUUUUAUGUCAGAAUGCAGCUAAGUGUUCACACAGGAGUGGAAGCAACAGCCCAGCCAUUUAUUUUCUCUGGUUCAAAAGUGCAGGAACUCUAGGUGUUACCUUCAAACUUUGGUUUCUUCUAAGGAACCCUUAAAAGCUACCUGUCCAUGCUGUGCGGAUUACUUUGGCUAAACUAUGUAAUAGACUGUGUAAGUCCAGUCCACAAGGGCACGUCACUGCUGAGUGGGCAAGGCUCCCCAUUCCCCUCUUAGGACGCCACGCACGCUUGCUGACACAGGGCUGUCGGGCAUACAACCCACAUGGGAGAGCCAGCACCAAUCUGGAUAUCAAAUAUUCAUGAAGCCACAUUCGCAUUUUUAGAUUAAAAAUAUAAAUACAUAAAUAAAAGCAUGGUGUUUUCUUCCUGUACCUCCAACAGACCAUCUUGCACACCCCAAUUUGGAGACCACUGACCUAACCGGAACCUCCACCCCAGGGGCCCACAUCUCUGAAAGCCAGCCUUCCUCUCUCAGGAAGGGGACCCAGCAGUUAGCCAGGCCCCUGAAAACCAGGCAGGCAGUCCCCUACAACAGGAUCAAUGCUGACAGCGCAGAAAAAUCAUGGCCCAGUGCAGAUUGCUACUGUGGCAUCUGCAAUUGCCAAGCUCCCCCAUACCCCGUCUUGUCAGGUUGGAGGGCACGCAGACUGAAGACUGUGCUGAGGACCUUGGGAAGAUGGGGAGGCCCCAUAGGGUUGGAGGACUCCCUUAGGGUCUCUGGUUCAAGCCGGGACUGCAUUCUUAGAGGGCAGCCAGAUUCCUGGGUUGAGCAUGGGGAAGCAGCGGCCCCUGGUGGCUCAGACACGUCCUGCCUCAGAACCUCAGCAUCCCUUCUGCUUUCAGGGUUUCUGCUUUCUUGCUAGGUUGAAAAAUAAUAGUGCUACAGUGUUAGAACUCUCCUGCAAAGUCCGGUAUAGCUUUUCAGCUUGAGGGUGGGCUGCAGUGGGAGAGAAGGACUGGGAACCACCCACCAUGAAAAAUAAAGCUUCGGUGGAGACAUUGUGAGGUCAGACGACAGACUCCUAAAGUUCCAGUCCCGGAUUGCCGUGGACUGUUCUCCCCUUUCCAGGCCCCAGCCUUUUCCUGCCUCUCGUCUCUUCCUGACACCCUGGUCCUGCCUUUCCUGGCUCUGUCCUCAAAACUCAAGAAGGAGAGAAACAAAGGAAGGGGCCAAUCCGUGGAAAAGGACUCUUCCAAAUUCAAGUCCUUUAAAAUUCCUUUGGGAGCGUUUAGAAGGCCUUCGUUAAAGUCAUCUGAAAGUGUUGUAAAAGCAAGAGAAAUGUCAGAGGCAGUGUUGAGAAACAUUUCCUUUAAGGCAGAAGGAAAAGACCACCAGAUGGAAGAUGUGAGAUAAAAACAAAAUGACACGAGGACAAAUCCAGAUGUCUGGAUGCAGGGGAACAGCAGAGGCGAGGGGAGAGGGAACCAUUGAGGAAGUGACCGGAGGACAUUUUCCUGAGGCAAAGAAAGACACGGGUCAUUGGGGAAAGAUCCCUUGAGGCCAAGAACAGGAAAAAGAAAUCCAGAUGGCCAAUAAACAGAAGAAACAAUGCCAAGCCAUACAUCCAGCUGAAGAAAUACACAUGAAAACACCAAUAUUUUCAUCUAGAUGGGCAAUACUUAGAAAGCUUGAACCUUUAUUAUCUGUAUAAUCUUUUAAAACAGAUUUGCUUUUCAUAGAUAGUAUUCACUAUAUGCUGGUAUAAACAUUUUUUUCCCUGGGUGGAUGGAUAACCAAUGAGCCAAUGUAGAUGGGUAGAGGGACCGACUGUAGGUGAGGACGAAGAAGAGUGAUACUUUUCAUGUUUCACCCUUUGCGUGAUAUUGUAUAAUUUUAUGCUUUAAAAAUGUUAAUUGGAAUAAAAUGUUAAUUGGGUGGUGACGUUAUUGCCAUCUUUGUUUUCCUCAUAAUACAUUUUGGUAUUAAAUCAAAUAAAUGGUCCUGACCGGUUUGGCUCAGUGGCUAGAGCGUUGGCCUGCGGACUGAAGGGUCCCAGGUUUGAUUCUGGUCAAGGGCAUGUACCUUGGUUGCACACACAUCCCCAGUAGGGAGUGUGCAGG